AGAGUUAAACAGUACGUGAAAUUGUUGAAAGGGAAACGAUUGAAGUCAGUCAUGCUAGUAUUGAAAUCAGCUUGGUGUUUUUCACCUUGUGUACUUUCUUGCUUGGCAGGUUAGCAUCAAUUUUAGUUGUCAUCAAAGAAUUGGGGAAAUGUGGCUUCUCUUCGGAGAAGUGUUAUAGACCUUGAUGGAUGUGACGACUGGGAUUGAGGAUUGCAGCGAAUGCCUUUGGCUAGUCACCUGUCUUCUGGCGGUCACCUCGCUUUUGACAGCUUGCUGAUGAUUGUGGGAUUUGGCAGCCUAGAAGGUUAGAAUGAUCAUAAAUUCGCUAAGGAUGCUGACGUAAUGGCUUUAAACGA
rnacentral:misc_RNA from 1 species